UACAGAGGGUGCUAGCGUUGUUCGGAAUCAUUGGGCGUAAAGGGCGUGUAGGCGGUUUGUUAAGUCAUGUGUGAAAUCCCUCGGCUCAACCGGGGAACGACGCAUGAAACUGGCAAGCUAGAGUACCAAAGAGGGGGGUGGAAUUCCCGGUGUAGCGGUGAAAUGCGUAGAUAUCGGGAGGAACAUCAGUGGCGAAGGCGGCUGCCUGGCCCAAUACUGACACUCAGGUGCGACAGCGUGGGGAGCAAACAGG
rnacentral:rRNA from 1 species